AUUAAAUUCCCUGUGGAUAAGUAAUUUACUAGUAUGGUAUUUCUCAGAGCCUCUUUUAUUAGGCAUAUCUAGCUUUGCUACUGACAGUUGCUGAGAAAAGAACAGCCUAUCUUUAUAAUUUGGGGUAGUGAGAGAAAUAACAGAGCCCUUUACCUCUGAGGACGUUACCUGGUGGCUUGGCGUCAUGAUAAUUGGGGCCUUCUGCUUUUUGGAGCUCAUUAUACCUUGGCCAGAACUUUUAGGACUAGAUUUUAAGUGUCAGCUCCUGGACCUGUAAGUCAUGUUAGUGAGAAAUGAGACAUGAGACAUCGUGUUUUUUUUUUUGUUUUUUUUUUUAACUGAAGAACUCACUUUUUAUGGCAGCUAAACAAUUCAAAGGAGGAUACUUUCAUUAUCUCAACUUCUUAUAAUGAAUGACUUGGAUCUCAUAAUUGCCCAGUUCAAGGAGAUUGGAACCACCUGGACCAUCUGGAUAUCCCACAGAAGACCACACUGACCCAUUAUUACACUGAUGAUAUCAUGCUGAUUGGGCAAGAGAAGCAAGAGGUAA
rnacentral:lncRNA from 1 species